rnacentral:ncRNA from 1 species
UCCACCGCGAGGUGGAAUCUGAAGGAAGUCGGAGGCAAAUCUCUGGUCUGAGGUACACGAAUUGCAUUCGAGGCUUAUUCUUGUGGGUGAGUUUGCAUAACAAAACAAAGCCCAAUAACUACCCGAAAACAAGGAAAGUAAAUGCAACAGAUAUGUGGAGAGAAAGUUUGCGCU